UUCUGAGGAGUCAUUUUUCUCCCCUAAUGGAAAACUACAGUCCCAUUAUGGUGCAAACAGGGUGCAGAACUGGUUCCAUUUAUUACCACUGAUUACAGAGCAGCCCACUUCCAUGGGCUCCUCAGGAGUUAUUAACAACUCAGUAAGAGCUACAUAUCCUUAUCCCUGGAAACCCCCUGCAGCCAGGAUAAGAAGGGCAGAUGCCAAGAGCUGCAGGGUCAUCCCGCUUGCCCCCAACUUGGGAUGGAAACUGUGCGCACUCCUUGUGAGAGUUUUCUGCAAGAAACCCCAAAGACGUGACAUCACCUUAGGACCCAAGCCAUUUCCACAUUGAGGCUGCCCUGCUGUUUGAGAUGGAGAGAGACAACAUGUAUGCUUGUCGUAUAUGUGGGAACCUUCAGCACAUGUAAUUCUAGCAGAUGAUUCUGUUGAUCUUGCUAAAGAGCGGCUUCUUGUGGACUGAGAGGAUGCUAUCUUCCUGUUUGGUUCCUGAUGGAGAGAAGCAGGAGGUAGCAGGAUUCAACUAAAACACUGGCCUUGCACUGGACCAUAAGCUCCCUGUGGGCAAGGCACCAUCUGUCCUGUUCACUGCUGUGUCCCCAGCGGCUAGCACAAUGCCUAGCACAGAGCAGGCACUGCACACUAUUUUGGUUGACUACUGCAAAGAAGGUAUCAUACCUUAUCCUCUAGCCAGUGAUAGGUUCAUGGUUGAGUCAGUUAGAAUCUUCCCUGGCUUUGAUACACAAAUGUCGAGAGGAUUUCUCUCUGCUGAGGCUGCUAAGCUGAGGGUAGGAAGCUAAUCACAAAGAGAAGAGAACUGGGUAUCAGACAAAAUGAAGAGAUGGUGAGAGAGAGAAGGGAGGGAGAGAAAACAAGCUAGCUCUGACAACAUAGUACGAGGGCGUGUUCAGCUCCAGCUUGGUUAUAUGAACCAAUACAUUCCUCAUUUAUUUAUUUGCUUAAGGUAACAGUAGAGCAGGUUUCUAUCACUUAAAACCAAAAAACAGUCUGACUACUAUACUUGUUUCACGCUGUCCCCAUAUCUUUUCAAAGCUAUUCAUUUACUCCAUGCUAACAGCUGACUCCCUCUUUACAUUUUAUGCUUGUGGAUCUUCUAAAUGUCUAUUUUCUCAUAGCAACCAUCUUGUCCAGCCCUUUUGCUUGCUUUAAGCUGGUCUGUGUUUAAGCUAUGCACUCAGGGCAGCUGUAUCUUUCCCAUACAAAGAAUCUAGAAAGAAGGAAUUCUUCAAAUUCCCUGGAUAACAGACUUAACAGUUCCCUCUGGUGACAGAUCCUCACAUCCUGAGAGUACUCUGUCUCCUCUCGACAGCUGAUGCUCACUCCAAGUGGACCUUGGUGAGGGUGCCCUGCUCUGGGCUCCGUUUGCUGGGACAGCACCCAAUUGUUUGUAGCUUGUUUCACAGGAAUGGGGUUUGUCUCCUACACUAGACAGCAGCUGGGAAGUUUUAGGAGAACAAAGGGAAGAAAAAUGGUCUUGGACAUCUACUAUGUGACACACAUUGUCCAUGCACCCCUCAUCUCUCCCUGUGAGGUAAAUAACUUUUCUGUCCACAAUUACAGACACAGGGGAAGAGCUGGUCAGUGCCACUUGCCCAUGGGCUGAGCUGGUAAGUGACAGAGCAGAGAUGCUUUCUCACCCUCCACUCAGUUGCCUCUGGGCCAGGCAUCAAUAGGCUUUGUGCAGCUCAGACCACUCAGCACCAUGCUGGCCAGGCUGCAUGUCCAACUAUGACAGCCCUGCAUUUAUCACCAUUGCGUGUUCACCUAGUGAGGAGAGGAUUUCAGACCACCCCCUCUGUGGUGUGAGAGACUCGUCUGACAUGGAGCUGCACAGAAACAAGAGAAGUGGGGAGUCUAAUUUUCUUCCACAGUGCCCCACCCAGCUUCUGGAAUUCAGAGCACAGCCCAGGAAGGCAUUCUGUUCCUGAACAGGCAAGGAGGCCUCUGACUGGGUGUCAGCCCCUGACCCACCUCGUUUUUCCCUGUAGGUGUUGGAAAGAGGAUCGCAGCCAUCCCCAGGCCCCAACAGGCACAAUGGGAAGAGCUGCACUGUGUCAUGGGCGAGUGUGCACAUGUGUGUAUGUGUGGUCCGUGGAGUGAGGGCCGGGCAGGGGUCAGUCUGCAAAACAAUAUUAAGAAACUGAAACAUUUUCCACUGAGAAACACAAUUACUGCCCAUGGAAUUCUUACCAAGCCUGAGAAAUGAGCAGUGGCCCCUCCUUUUCAUUAGUUAAACAAAGAGGGUUAUUUUUCAAAUAAAAACUUACAGUGUGGAAAACAAUUUAAUUCCCAGAGCUCUUCAUGAAGCAAGAUUCUUAGUGGUGGAAUAUGUCUAUAUGGACACACAGCUGCAAAGGGUAGCCAUAGGUACCCUGAUCAAGCAAAGGGCAGGCUGGCCAGUGUGGGACCCAGGCCUUAGCUUUGGGCCUCCUGAAGGUAGGAAUCCCAGCUAGGAAGGACAACAGAGCGUAAGAACCAUGGCUUGGGAAGAUUUGACCAUUUGCUAGGAGAUAAAAAAAGGUGAAAAUAAAAAUAUUUUUUGUAUGUUCAUUAAAUGAUCCUCUUUCUUUCUCCAAGUCAAUGAAAAUAAUCUGCAAACUCAAGCCCUGUUUGGUUCCAUGGGGCGUGUUCAGCUUUAUUAAACUCCUAGCCAUCAGAUUUCUCUCAAGCACAGUCUGGCUUCCACUCACAGACCCACAGUGUAACCUCAUGGCUUUCUCUUAAGGUGUUUUCUUCUGAAAGCUCCUGGGUACGUGCAUUUGGUUAGGAACAGGUAAGAAUAUAGAGGCAGACUGCCACAGGUUCAAACUCCAGCUGUGUCACUUAAAAGCCAUGUGUGCUUGCUCUCUUUGGGCCUUAGCUUGCCCAGCUGCAAAGGGGAAUGAAUAGUGAUGGAACCUACGUCAUAGAGUUACCAUGAAGAUUAAAUGAGAACAUGCUUAUAAUGUGCCUUAGCACAGUUUCUGGAAAAAGAAGAGCUCACUAAAAUGCUGGCCAUUCAUUCUUAGGAAGUUAAAGGGACAUGGCAUACGGACAUAGGUCUAAGCUUUUCAAAUUAAUAAAUAUCAUAUUUUGAGGUUUCUACUUAUCUCAUCUCUCCUGUGUAAAGUGUGUUGUUUUAAAAAAAUUAAAGCAGGCACAACAUAGCUUCUCUUCAAAUCGGAGCUUCCUUCUGUAAUCAGUCCGCGAACGUUUUGGGGAGCGCUCUAUUUAACUUGGCUGGCCCCUGGUUUUGCCGUGAGUAAUAUGUUGGGCUUCAUUUCAAACUCCACAUAGCCAAGAUCACUGGAUACUUGAGCUUCCCCAAGCUGAGUUGAUACAGCUGCUCAGCCCCUGGUCACUGAAUAAAUCCUCUAGUCCUCAAGUGGAGACACUGGAGAAAUAAGGGAGUUGGUAUUUUUGUAAUUCAUAUGAAGGUUUGGCCAGGAAUUUUCAAACACUGGAAUAAAUUUUUAAUUUGGACUUUGAUAUCCAGACAAGCCCAGCUCAUGUUCUCUUGGGUCUCCUUCCAAAAGACCAGACUUCAAACAGACACUGCUUGCUGUCUUAGCAGAGGCAGCAGAGAAGCACCACGCCAGCCACGGCAGCAGCAAGCAGGCACCCCGCACAUGCGGCCUGGCUGGGCUGACCCCUGGGUUGCUACUCGCCCUGGAAGCCAACACUAUUCCGUGGACCUGAAGCCAAGUUCCUCAGAAGAGAAUUCACAAGGAGGAUACAUAACGUACAGCCGAAUCUGCAGUCUCCUAUUUUGUCAGCUGCUUGUGUUGAUUAAAACUUCAAUAAAGAUCCUGUGAUAAAACAGAGCUAUGUUCAAAGGAUCUUGUUAUGUUUUUAAAAGGCUGAGCUUGGCAGGAAAGAUGUAGAGUAUAGGUUCGCUACCUUGAUAUUUUCCCCCUUUUCCAGGUUAGAAAAGGAACAGAUGGGCAAGUAAUGCUUAGUGGCUUCUGGUACCUGUGGGAGACUUAGCCUGUGUUUAACUGGAUCCCAUAUAAUAAGCAAGGUCUGCUUUAAUUGGUAUGGAAAGUGUUUAUCAAACUGGAGUUGAACGUGUGCCCCAACUGCCCUCUUCCCCCACAGGUCUGACUGAGAGCCUCUCUCUGCAAGAGGCCUCAGCCUGACGCAGGGGGAGAGGGGGAGAGCCACAGGCUAAGGGAAGCCACAGGAUCCAGGAAUUCCAA